UACAUCUCUGUUUUUUUUUGGGGGGGACAGCUGCUGAUACAGAGGCUUGGCAAACUCCAAAAGCAGCAAAAUCCUAUUCAACAAGGAUUAUUCUGGUUCUGUCCUAUGUCACCAAUACCAGGACAGCAGAGGGAUUUGUGCACCUUGACUCUUAAAAUCUCAAGUCUUGUACACACUGCGCAGCUGUAAAAACAGUGAAAGCUGUGCCUCUGUGACCUUGGCUAAUGUGCAGCUCCGUGUCACCCUAUCUGCAGGCCUCCUCGCGUUGCCCCUCGGGAGCGGGGGCCUCUGAAGCUUUCAGGCCGGCAGUCAUGAAAAUAUUCUUUUUGCGGUCAUAAACCGGAACAUGAACCUUAAAUCCUGCCUGUGUUUUUCACACAGGAAAAUACAGUCAAAGGAGAGAGUGAGACUCCGCUAACCAGCAGCUGCACAGGGAUCAAAUGGUGUUUACAAGAAAGGAAACCACCUGUGAAAUCCGUCUUGAUAAUUUUACCUGACCAGAUCUGUGCUCCCUUCAUGAACCUCUGAGCACUGGCUCUCCCUCAGCCUGACACGAGAGCUGAAGUGACUGAAUAGGCAUGUGCAAGGCUGUCCCCUGACAGAGGCACCUCCGCCAGAGCGUUCCCAGCUCUCCUGCUGUAAACACGCUGGUGCAGACUGGGAUAUGCUGGACUGGAGCGGAGCAACUGCAGGCACUGGAUGGAGCUGGCUGUGGACGCUGCUGUGUGAGACCUGUUGGCCUUUCUGAAAUACAGCCUGCUGAACACUCGACAGUCCAUGCUCUCCUCCCAGUGUGCAAGCUGUCCAAGAGAGGAUAAACCACAGAAAAUAAGCACAUGGAGAGGCAGCAAUGGAACAGCAACUGCCCUGUCACACAUCUGUCUGGCAAGGACUGCUAUGGAUCAUACUCAGGUCAGUGAAGGCGGUCCGAGUGCAACCCGGGGUAAAUACCCCUUCCCACACAUGCCCCGUGUUGCUGGAAGCAGCAUCAUGUUCCCAUACCAGCAGUGACUAUUUGCACAUGGUACAAAGUGCUAACAGCAGCGAGGGGCUUAGGACUGCGCAGUACUGUUGUGCCAAAAUUGUGUCAUCAGGCUUCUAUGUGGGUUACUUUUCCUAUUUGACAAGAUUCUUCUCACCAUAACGUACAUUUUAUCUUUGGAGCUGUCGAUGGGAGUCAAGAAAAUGAUCCAUCAAAAGCCUUUAUAUGUUUGGGUUUAAAAAAAAAAAAAAAAAAAAAAAGAAAUAAUUUGCAACCACAUCAGCUUUGGUGCAUAGCAUGUGGCUCAGGGCAGGCAGUGGUGUCAGGCUGCCAAAUGAGGACACAGGCUAGAGCUGUUCCCGCCAUCAUCCCCCUUCCUCAGCAGUGCACUGCUCGGAGCUCUGCCAGACUGGGGCUCCAGCUGGCUGCAGGGUGCUCAGAGCAGCUUUCAGCUGCCCAUAGCAUCUCCUUUUCAGCCCAUUUUGCUCCGGGCAUCCCCGCCAUCACUUCCAGCUCUCCACCCGCACACAGAUGCAGCGAGGUCCCGAGCACUUAACCUUGCGUUGCAGAGAUAGCCUGUGAGAGUGGUCCAGGAGGAAUCCCCACGUAAUCUCUCUGGUGUUUGCGUUACGGCUUCACCAGGCUUUGGAGGAGCAUUUCCCACCACAUGUGGCUGCCCAGGGGCUGCACAGGCAGAGGGGCAGCUGCGGCCUCAGCUGGGCUGGCUGAGGGCUGCAGUGAUGGAUCUCCUCAGCUCCGUGGUUCUCUGACUCACUGAGAUGAGUCUGAACUGAAGCACUCGCAAAAACACUACAGGAAGAAGCAUGCAAAGAUCGACAUCUCGUUUACCCAGACACCACUGAGUUUUUGGGUUUUUUUUCACAGACAUAAUUCACUGGGUCUGGCACGCAACAAGGGGAAAAGCAGCAUCCUUGUGCUGUGUGAGAUCCCAGAUUCUCGCCCCAGGCGAGCUCUUAGUUGGGGGCUGGUGGGGACCAGCACAUGCUAAGGACACACAUCAGCCUUUGUGCUUGAAGAGUGAUGGGCUUCUGCCUUGUGAUCCCAGGAAAGAAUUAGACUUUAGAUGAUGUGCUUUAAAUAGAAAACUCAUUUCUGAAGUAAGCAGAAAACCACAGAUAAGGAUGGCCCAAAGAUGUGGCUAAACUGCCGAGGAAUUCCCCUGCUGGAGCGAGCCGUGGCAGCAGCUCCUGCCCUCCCCAGUCUCCCCACCUGUUCUCAACCGGCCCCAGGCAGCCGCCACAGAUUAGCCAAGGUGCCAGGGGGUUUCUGAAAGACCCAAAGCAGUGCAUGGGGACACAGAGCCUCCCAUAGAAGUGUAUCACAGGCUGAUCCCACUCCUGGCCCAUGGCACCAUGGCCAUUUGUUUGCACAGAGUAAGCAAUGGGACCCACAGUGUCCACCUGGCAAGCCCUGCGCAAUGGAGAAGGGACAGUGGCCCUGGCUCCCAGCUGUAUGCUGGCAUCCCCAGGGGCUGGCGGAAGAUGUAAUGCGGUCUCAGCAUCCAGAUGGCUGCUCCUUGCCAGUCAUGCUCAGCCUGUACAGCCCAGUAUUUCCCCAGCUGUUAAGUGAAGGUGACCGGGUGGCAGCUGCAUGGAGCUCCCUCCCUCUCCCGUUGCAGCCAGACGUGGUUUGUGCUUGGCUUGAGCUGGGCUCCCUGCAGCUUCCCUGGCACCCACGGCCCUGGCAACACAGCCACUCCAGAGGGACAAGCUGUGCCCCAUCUCCCAGCUGGGCAGUGCAACAGGAUGGGCUUUGGGAACUGCUCCCCAGCCUGGCAGCUCUUUGUGAGCCCCCCGAGAGGCAUGGAGACUGGUCACAGCCUUUUCCUGCACGGGUGCCAGCAGCUGCAGUUCUUCCUGCUCAAGCAGCCCCUCUUUUGUAACACUAGAUUUCUCCAGACUUUAAACAAGCCAAGGAGCAGCAUGCUCCUGCCCCACUGUAGCAGGCAGCACAAGGCAGGCAGCAUCAUUACUUUAGCCCAAGGGAGCAGCUGUGCCUCAGGCAUGCCCCAGACGUGUCUCCAUGCUCUGCUCUUUAAAAAUAAAUCCUUAAUGCUUCUCUUCCUCCCUGGUUUCAGUUUGAAAAGCAUCUACAGCUCUUCUUGCCUGUGACGCCAACAGGAAACACGGACUCAUGGCCAGGGUUGCACCCCAGGGCUUAAGGCGUGCAGCCACAGAGGCACAUGGUGUCCUCACUGCCCAGCCCUGGGGUGAGCCUGGCCCCACGGCACUGACAUUGGCCCGGCAGAGAGGGGAGAAUGAGACUGAGGACACAUUUCUGCAGGAACUGAAAAUUUUGUUCUAACAAAAACCUGUGAUGGUCAGGGUCAUCCCAGCUGCUUCAGCUCAGCCUCUGGUUGGGGACUACAUUUUUCCCUGUGGAUGCCAUUUUCAGAAAACAUGAAUGAAUAAACCAUCAAAAGCCCAGAAAGCAGAAGCCAUGACUAAUGGUCUUUGGGCUUCCUCCAAGUUUAAAACCAGAGCAAUAAACAAUUACAGCAACAGAAAUGGGACCAGGCAGCAAGCAGUAGCUGCUCCUCCAUCACCUGGAUGCUCAAGUAUUUGAGCAGUCAGGACCAUGCUUUUAUUUUUUCUAUAUUCCCUUUUAGUAGUAGCAGUAGCCAUUAAGUGCCCUGGUGAGCAGAAGUAUAGGAGCUCGGUGUGCCCUUGCUGCAGUGCCAGCAAAGAUGCCCAUGGCAGCUGUGCUCUGCCAGCUCCUCUCCUGUUCCCCAGCGAUGCUUCAGGACUGUGGAGGACACGCUUCCACAGUGCUGGCUCCAUGUCUGUCCCGGCACCCCCUGACCCAUAGUGGGGACGGAGCCCCAGGGCAGAUUACGAGCACCUCUGUGCUCACCCAAGAAGCUUCAGAAAAGGGAACCGUCAGCUUAUUCCCACAGCACAUGCAGAAGCACAGCUGCGGUUAAGCACCAGCUCUGAGGUAUUGCUCAUUUGCAUCAUGCACUUACCUCAGCUGCUUUGAUGUCACACGUGAAGUUGUGGUGGCCUGGAGCUCCUGUUUAUCCCAGGAGGACAGGUAAGACCAUGCUACUCUCUGGUGAACACAAUCACCGCCAUCCAGGCAGUCUGGUUAUCUGCAAGCUCAUCCCUACUGCCUUUUUGUCCCCACCGUGGCCAGCUGAGUCAGCCACAGUGUAGCACUUGGGGGACCCAGCGCCACUCACCCAUCACUGCCAGUGAGGGCUUGGCAGGGAACCAUGCCAUGAGCCAGAAGGGUGCCUACACCUAUUUAGGCACUGGAGAGGCUGUCCCUUCCUCAGCUCAUACCUCCAUGCCAUUUCAUUUAAUGGUAUCAUCAGGUUUUGUUUUGUUUUUUUUCUCCUCCAGCUGUGUGUGUCCUGAAGACUCAAAUAACACAAAUCACUUCGAUCACUGUCCAAGUGGGGCAAGGGGAGGUGGAGCCCGCAAAACCACAUGUCCCUCUUGCACUGGCCAGCAGAUCCUGCACCUGCUGCGUGAGGCUGGCUGAGGGAUCUCUGAAAAAAUACCUAAAUCAAGUCCUUUCACUGGGCAGCUCCAGGAAAAGGCAGCAGAGCUGCCUGCUCCAGGGAAAGCUAAGGAGUCCAGCCCAGACAUUUUGCAGGACAAGAUCAAUUCAUACAGAAGAAGCUCCAAGACAUAAGAAAGGAGAAACCCUGCUGACAUCCCUGCAGCACUGACCCUCUGGCACAAGCCAUCGGUAAAACAGCAGGGCUGCACCUCCACCAAGCACCCCAGGAGGUGGGAGCAAAGCUGAGGGACAGCCAUGCUCCUCUGUUCCUCCUUUUCCUAUCUUAAGAAGCACAGUAGAGAGUAGGUGAGGACAGAGGGGAAGCUGGUGGAUAAGAAUUAUUCUGUCAUUUAUUAUGGAGUUAUUAGUUAACUCUAUUGUAGAGUUAAAAGCCAGACUUGACAACUUGGAACAAUCUUCUGGUGAGUAUUUUGGGGCAGAGGCAAAAAAUAAAGCAGGCAGAGCUGCCUUGUGAUUUCUUUCUGGUGGGAAAAUAGCAUUUUAGUGAGAAAUGAAAGUUGCAGUGGAAAAACGUCUGAAAUCUUUGCUUUUCCCUAGAGCAACACACAGUAUCUGCUACCAUCAGCAUUUCACAUAGUCUAAUAACAAAAUAUUAAUAUCUGAAAAAACAAGCCUACAGUUCACAGAAAGGCUUUGUGCCAACCUCCUACAGUACACAGACAAGCAGUUGCUGGCAGCUCUGCCAAACCCCAUCUGGAGCAUCUGCUUCUGCGUUACAAAUAAAAGCACCCUGCAGUGUCUGCACAGCUGCAGUCCAGCCCCGCUGAAAGGGAAAGACCUAACGGAGGCUUCGCUGUAAUUACUUGUGGCCAAACCACCUCCUGGGAUGUGAGAGAGAGCAGCCCGCUGUGCAUGUGGAAGGAGGAAUAAGGACAGAAAAGAGGAAAGAGCCUUUGCCCACAUGCGUCGCUGCCCAGACUCAGCAGCACUGCCUCUGUACACUGAAACAAAGUCUAAAAACCUUAGAAGAGGUUAACGAGUUUCUGGGCUGCUCCAUGGCAAGGCCAGAGCCCUUCCUGUGAGACGGAAGGGAUGCCAGCUCCUCCUCUUUCUUCUUAUCAAAGUGGCAUUUCAGAAGUGGCUGUCAUUGCACAGAAGCAGAUAUCUGAUUGUGGGAGCUUUUAAAUUUUAAAAAGACUUAACAAAACCCACUGAUGGGAAACUGAUUUUGGAAAUUCAACAGCCCCAGCGAGGCAGUUGCUCUGCUGAUGCCUGCCGUCUUUCCAAAGGAGCUCUUUUCAGAGACAAUUCCCCUGAGGCUGACCCAGGCACCAGAUGCAGGUAGAGCAGCGCAGGCUGCUCAGCACCUUCCCAGCUGGGCAUCCAGCCCUGCUCCUGGACACAGCAUCCCAGCGGCUGCCCCCACAGGGCAAGGGGAAGGACUGGGUGGGGGAAAAGCUCUGCUUGCAGGCUGAGGAUAGUCCGCAAUCAUUAAAUGCCCAUCUGCCAGACGUUAUCUAGAGACAUACUCAUUUCCUGGCCAGAAAUAAAACAAAAAUGCUGCAAAAUACUUCACUUGGAUGCACUUCUUGGUGAAAAAAUUAUUCUUACACAAGUUUUUCUGCCCAGUUAUAACUCUAUUCUGCCUCCACCUUUUGUGAUCUAGAAACAAGAAACUUUAAUCACCUAAUCAGGACCUUGGACCAUAAUCAAAUUCAGGGCUGGAGGCAAGUUACAGCAGCAGCUCAGUGGUGGCCAGCAGCCUGUGCUUGACCCAGAAGAAAUCUGCACUACAUUCCUGUCACUGUGGCUGCGUUGGGGUUGCCCAGGACACUUAACAGGACUCUUUGGAAGACAAAGUUCUGGAGGCAGCUGAAGUGCCCUGGUCUCGGCGUGAGCUAAGGUCUGUGUAUACCUGAGGAAGGCAGAUACCCUGGCUUUGUACACUUCACUGACUCUGAGCGCUGCUGUGGAAACAAGCCCAGGGGGUGCCAAGCCCCCACUGGUCCCUUCAGCCUGUGGUACCCGGAGCACAGGAGCUGUGCUUGCCCCUAUGUUUGCAAACACUGACCUCAGGGACACCAAGGGUGCGCUCCCCUGACACCGUGCAGCUCCCGAACCUGCGCCAGGUGACACAAAAGGUUUUUUCCUGCAGUAACUUUGAUGAUGCUGGUGAAUUUGGUUUCUUUCCAGAAAAGCAAAAUAAAGUAGCAGAAGGAAGUUAAUAAAGUGCAUAAAAAUCAGUGAAAGGUAAUACUGCCCUGCUUUGAUAAAGAUCACAAGCUUUGCUUCAGAAGAUAAAAAGUAAUGGUAACCCCAGUAAAGAAAUGCCUGAAAAGAAUCUCAUUCUGCUAACUGACUUGAAACUUAGAGCUAUGAACCCAGUUUGAUUUGUUGUAUUGCUUUGUCUCUCUUACUUGAACCAUGAAACUUCCAAGAGGUGCUGUUCUAUUUUGUAAUUUCAGGAUGUCAUAACAUUCAGCUUUACUUGAUGAAUUCACAGUGGGAUUUCUGCUUUAUGCAAGUUUGUAGAUCUUCAAUGAAGCAGCAGAAUUUGGGGAGAAUGGGAUGUUUGGAGAUGCAGAUCAAUAUCUGUGUGAUUACAGACUCCCUGUACUGCUGCACAGAUGUGUGCAGUAUGUUUUCCUCAGAUAGGGUGAGACUAGCUGACCUUUAAAGGUUCAUUCCAACCCCAACUAUUCUAUUCUAUGAACUCUUCCUCUUCUCCUGCCAACCAAGACCACACCAGUGAAUAAAGGCACCACCACAAGCAAA